AACCCAUGGUGUGGAUACUAAUUGAUAUAUGUUCUGAACCGCUCCCAUGCUUGCUGUAUGAAACUAGAGAUCUGGUUUCUAAGCUU
rnacentral:snoRNA from 1 species